ensembl:lncRNA
GUAGGGAGGAAAGGGAGGGGGUUGGAAGUUCCUUGGUAGUGUUGAGGGAGCGACUUGGGGAAAGAGGGGAGAAAAGAAGGGCCGGGGGUUACGCGGGGACGAGGAGGCUUCUCCCCGGCUUCACUUGGCCGCCCGCUCCACAGCGGGCCCCGCUGGGGUAAAGGAAUAAGAGAAGAAAUUAAACGGCAAGAGUGCCCAGUGUCUUUCCCUCCCAACUCCUCUCUCGCGCCCUAUUUCAACCACACGCGCCUCACGGUGGGCCCCGCGCCCUCCGGGUGCCCCUCCAAACUUCUAGAAGCUUCGCCUCCGCCAUUUUAUAACUUACCUCCCCCCUCAGCGUACACAGAGGCAGCAACGAGACUGUUCGCCUCCCCCACUCCUCCUUCCUGCUUUCUCAGGCCGGGGGCUUCUUCACCCCUGGGCUGGUACAAGAUAUUUUUCCCUUCCUCUUCUUUUACACCCUUGAAUUCUACUCAGGGACGGAAGCUCCCGCGGUUCUAGAGCGGUGGGGGGUUUUGAAAGUGGCGGUCGGAUCCGGCGGGUUUUUUUUUUUUUUUUCUCUCUCUCUCUCUCUCUCUUUUUUUUUUUUUUUUUUGGUGGCGCUUCGGGAUUGUUUGGGGUGUUCGCUCUUCGGCGACUUGGAGGCGAAUGGAACGCGCAGGCGCCAUCUGUCGGCCGCGAACCCGCGCCCGGCUCCCGUUGGGAGGGAGCGUCAUCUAGCGGCAGAGAGUCGCCACUGCAACGCCUGGCCCCCUGCCCUCCCACCCAGCGUCCUCCUCCCAAUCACCAGCCAAUCGGGGUCGACUGCCUCCUGGGUUCAGCGUCUCCGACGCCGCCUUUCAACGAGGCGCCCGUAGGGGCGCGCCGCCGAGUGGGGUAAACAAGAGUUUGUUCAGAAAAGUGCUGCGGGUCCCAGUCCUGUCCUGAGAAGUGGAAUUUAUUUCCUAGGGUACUGAAAGAUGGAGAGUACACCCUUAGAAUUUGAAGACAAAGUGAAAAACUGUCAUCAUAUGAAAUAUGUAACUGAUGUAAAAUAAGCUUUUAAUCUUCAUUAUUUGUAACAUGUCCUUCAUAGUAAUGGCAGAAGCAUUUGGUGCCCGAUAAAUACUGAAAAAGUAAAAUUUAAUAGUUAGAAUAUUUGAUACUGUGUGAGGAGGAGAACACUAUGUGAUGCAAAAAUAUUUUGGUCUUUAGUAAUGCUUACCCCGCAGUGUAGCGGAGAUGAUCCUCCUGUUUGAUCACGAGUAUGAAUAAAGCAUACCGCAAUUCUUUUGUUCUGACUCCAUGUAAAUGGAGCAAGCUUCUGAUUAUAAUUAGGUUUUCCAGAUAGUCUCCUACUUUACACAGCAUACAUAUAUGUGACCUAAAAUCCAAAAGUUUAAAGAUGAAUAAGCUGUGUUCACAAGAAUUUUAAGUUAUGCAUUGAAGUGAAGUGAAGUGAAGUUGCUCAGUCGUGUCCAACUCUUUGCGACCUCAUGGACACCAGGCUCCUCUGUCCAUGGGAUUUUCUAGGCAAGAGUACUGGAGUGGGUUGCCAAUAUACCAUAAACAAAGGCAAAAGACAAACUAUAAGUUGUGAAGAAAUAUUCGCUACAUGAAUGAAAAGCUAAUUUCCUUAGUAUACAAAGUGAAAGUGAAGUCGCUCAGUUGUGUCCAACUCUUUGCAACCCCGCGGACUAUAGCCCUCCAGGCUCCUCCAUCCAUGGGAUUCUCCAGGGAAGAAUACUAGAGUGGGUUGCCAUUUCCUUCUCCAGGGGAUCUUCCCGACCCAGGGAUCGAACCCUGGUCUCCCACAUUGCAGGCAGAUGCUUUAACCUCUGAGCCACCAGGGAACUCUCACAAAUCAAUAAGAUAAACAUAUUCAGUAGAAAACUGAACAAAGGAUAUAAACAGUCAACUUAUUGGACAAUAAAUGCAGAAAUGGCUAAUAAAUAUAUAAAACAUAAUACAGUGCUCAACUUCAUUUACCACUAAAGACAUACAAAUUCAAUACCACUUGUACAAGAUUGGCAUAGAUUUUAAAUUCUGAUAAUACUCAAUGUUGGUGAAGAAGUAAGAAUUCUCAUAUACCAUUGGUGGGAUGUAAAUUGUUAAAAAAAAUCUCAUGUAAAAUUGAUCUAGCAUUUCCAUUCCUAAGAAUCUAUCAUACAGAUAUGCUCAUGCAAGUUACACAAAGAUACAUGUAGAUUUUUAUUAUAGUUUUGUAAUAAAGAGAAACUGACCAUGAUAGAAAUGGUGUCAUUAGGGAACGGACUGAGUAAAUUAUCAUACAUCCAUAUAAUGGGGUUCUAUGCCCACCUUUAAAGCAAUUAAGUAUGUAUAUAUCUACUGAUACACAAACAUGCCUAGGAUAGGUUAAAUGAAAAAAAAAUCAGGUUGCAAAUAGCUUUUAUAGUGUGGUCCCAUUUGUGAGUGUGUAUUUACAAAUAAAGCCAUAAAACAUUCUCAAAGAACAUACAGGAAACCUAACAAUAGUUACCUCUCAGGAAAUAGGUAGUAUGGGAUUCCAGGGCUUGUAAUUUAACUUUUCACUUUAUACAUAGUUAUCUUACAUUAAUUUUUUUUUAAACUGAACAUAUAUUACUUACAUAAUUUUUAAGGUCUUAUACUGGUUACUCCUGAAAACAGUUUGGCACUUUCUUAUAAAGUUAAACACACACUUACCCUAUGACCCAGCGAUCUUACUCCUGACCAUUUAUCCCAGAGAAAUGAGAACUUGGUUUACACAAAAACAUAUACAUAAAUGUUUAUGGAAAAUUUACAUUUAAUGGCAAAACCAGGAAUUAACCCAAAUGUCCAUAAACUGGUAAAUGGUAAACAAACUAUGGUACAUUUAUACCAUAGAAUACUACUCAGGAAUGAAAAGGAGCUAUUGAUACACACAACAACUUGGAUGGACCUCAAGGGUAUUAUGCUUAGAGGAAAAAGCCAAUCUCAGAGAGUCACACACUAUUACUCCACUAUAUAAAAUCUCAAAAUGAUAAAAUUAUAGUGAUGGAGAACAGAUUAGUGGUUUCCAAGGGUUAGGGUUAGGGAAAAGGGUAAGGAGUAACUUAAGGAGUAAUGGGAGAGAGUUUCUUUGUAGUGAUUGAACAGUUGUGUAUCCUGAGUGCAGUGAUGGUAACUUAAAUCUACAUAUGGUAAAAUUUUAUAGAAUUGCACACAGACAUGCACACACUGUAUAAAGAACUGGUGAAUUCUGAAUAAUGUCUGUACUUGAGUUAAUAAAGUGUUGUGUCAAUGUGGAUUUCCUGGUUUUGACAACAAACUGUGGUUAUGUAAGCUGUUAUCAUUGGGAAACGCUGUGUGAAGGGUACAUGGAAUUCUCUAUUAUUUUUGCCACUUCUUGUAAGUUCUAAAUUAUUUCAAAAUAAAACCUUGUACUAAAAAAUUU